UACGUAGGGAGCAAGCGUUGUUCGGAUUUACUGGGCGUAAAGGGCGCGUAGGCGGCGCGGUAAGUCACUUGUGAAAUCUCCGGGCUUAACUCGGAAAGGUCAACUGAUACUGUGCGACUAGAGUGCAGAAGGGGCAACUGGAAUUCUCGGUGUAGCGGUGAAAUGCGUAGAUAUCGAGAGGAACACCUGCGGCGAAGGCGGGUUGCUGGGCUGACACUGACGCUGAGGCGCGAAAGCCAGGGGAGCGAACGGG
rnacentral:rRNA from 1 species